GUCCAACCGCAUAGCUCAGUCGGUUACAGCGUGGUGCUGAUAACAGUAAGGUCACAGGUUUGAUCCCCAUAUGGGACA